CAUCACACAAAAGCGGAAGCACAAUCGAUUUUACCAAACCAAACCCACAAACAAAAGCAAAAGCAAGAUGAAAUGAACACAUCAUGGAACAAAAAGCCUAUAACACAUUGAUUUCGAAAUCACCGUAACCUUUACAAAAUCAAAUGCUAUUAAUCAUAAUUUCAUAGAUACAAUCGAACCAAAAAAUCAACAUUAAAUGUUAUUUACGCAUGACCUUGAAAAUUGGAUCAUCAAUGAGAGAGCCUAACUUGCAAAUUGAAAGAUAGAUAGAGAGAUUGAAUCUGCGAUUGCUAUUGAAGCUGAAAGUGAAGAUCAAAAGCUGAAACUGAGACUGUAAGCAAGAUGAUGAGAUGCUGCUGAAGCUGUGAAUGGUCUCUAACACUCAAAAGUUGCACAUGCGCUCUUUAUUGCCGGUGAAAGCCAUCGAAAGUUCAGAGAAUCCAUCGAUUUUAAGUGAGAUUUGAUCAACAUUUGAAGAAAGUGAUUAGGGACUUUUUAGGAAUCAUUUUAGAUUUAUUUAGGAAUUAAAUUAGAAAAUCAAAAUUCAAUAAGAGUAAAAGAGGAAAACAAAUCUUUUUAAUGAUGUGGAAUUCGAAUUUCCCUACUCUUCAACAAAGAAAUCGAAUUCCUUAAAUAACAGAAAGUGGGUACAGAAUGAAACUUAAUUCCCUAUUCACUUUUACUAACUAAACAAAGGAAAUUACAGAGGAAAGGGAAAAUCUCUCUUUUCCUCCCUUAAAUUCAUGGAACCGAACAUGCUUUAAGGCUUAUCUCUCUCUUUCAUGUCUUCUGCCUCUUCCUCAUACUACCUUCAAAUCUUUCCUCCAAACAUUUUUGUGGCGUCGCAUCCUUCUUCCUUGUUUGGCCUGCCAACUUCAAGCUUCUGCUUUUCGCUUUUGACCAAUUUGUGAAUAUUUGUAGUGGCAACCGGUUUAUGGUUGUUUUUCACUCAAAUAUGUAUUCAGAAACAAAUGGGAGGAAAAGGCCAUAACCGAGGUCUUCUUUUCAACCAAGUAAUUAUAACGUCACUUGCCACUUCAGUGACACAACAAGCGGUGUUUGUUUUGAGCAAGCUCACUCUUUCAGCCAAGUAAUUUUAUCUUUAGGGUGCGUUUGAGAUUGAGGUUGGACAGCUGUAAUUUUUAAACUACAGUAUUAAAGUGUUUGAUAAACAUUAGCUGUUGUAGCUUGUAAACUAUGUUGUUAUGAUUUUUCACUUGUAUAAUGAAAAAUUUAUUACAUCUUUAAUAAUUCAAAAUUAUUAUUUAAAAUUCAUAUUUACUACAUAUUAUUAACUUUUGUUUGAUAGUUACAGUUUUUUUUUCCACAAAGUUACAGCACCUCAAUCCUAAAUAGGGUGUUAAUCCUUAUCUUAAAUUAACUUGCUUUAAUUAUUCUUUUCAUUUCUGUUUUCAUCUAUCCUAUAGUUAAAAAUGUCUAAUCUCUAAUCUCUAUAACCAUUUGAGGAAAUUAUACAAUUAGAGAGUUCGGCAAGAAGUCCAAAAGAGGGGAAAAAAAAGAAAUGGCCUUCGAGUCCAAUUUUAGACCCAAAAACAAUUUAAAAAGUAAAAAAAAAUGAUAAUUCUUUAAAUAUCAUAGCUUAAACUUUGUUGACCACCUCGAUUACAAUUACUUUUUAUUUUAAAAAAAAAUUCUACAUGAAGAUCAGUCACCAAUUAACCAUGAAAACACUAUCAAUUAUGUUCAUUAACAAAAUAAUUUAAAAUUACUUAGAUGAAAUAUUUCGUACUCUAUAAGAUAAAUCGUGUCUAAACUUAUUAGGUUUAUAAUCUAAAACCUUACUCUUAUUAAAUAUGAAAAGGUAGAAGAAUAAGUACAUAACCUUUUAGAAAAUCACGAGCUUCUCAGUUCAGUGUGAUUCCUUAUUAUCAUAGACUAAAAUAUGUUACUUAUUCAAAUUAAAAAAAAGUCUAUUAGCCAUUCAAAAAAAAAAAAAAGUCUAUUAAAAUUUAAUGAGAUGCAUUCAGCGGAUUUGAACUCUUUUUUAUUUAUUGAAUUGUUAUUUUAAGUUAUUAAAAUAAUUCAUAAAAAGAAUGGUUCUCAACUUCCAAUAACUCUAUAUAUAACCCUCCCCUUAACCCCAUAAUAAAUCACCUCCUUCGAAAUCCAUUUUUCCCUCCUCCUCAAGCUUCUUCGUUAUAUUGAGUAAAAAAUAAAAAUAUUUUAUUCUAAUUAAGGCUUUUGAAUGAAAUGUGGGUUAAGGCCCAAAAGAGACAAAAAAGGCCAGGCUCGGCCCAUUAAUAUUUGCCCCAAAUUUCAUCCAUUAGGGCUCAAAUUUCCAGCUUUAUCACCUGCACCACCACUACCAAGAGACAGAGAAAUUGAGAGCAAACGAGAGAGAGGGAGGAGAGAUUGAAGGACUCAUUUGAUCUGCUCCGUCACCAACUCGAUCUAUUAUUUAUCAAGGUUCAAUUUCAUUUUGUUUUUCUACUUAAUUUAUGAUAAACGGUUGCCCACUUUUUCUUUUCAAUGUUUAAAAAGGGUCUCUUUUAGCUUAAUUUUUGCAUUAUUUGUUAGGUUUUGUUGUUCCCCUCAUCUGAGUUUCUGUUAAUUAUUUCUAUUUAUUUUGUAAAAGCUUUUGCUUCUAGCUUCAGUUUCUGAGUGUGCUCCUCUUUUUUUUUUUGGUGGGCGGCGUUCUGGUUGUUUCUAGUCCGGAAAUUAGUUUUUAUUUUCGAGAAAAAAAUUUGUAUUUUUAAAUGUUAUCAUGCUUUGUUUGCAUUGAAUUUGGUUAAUUGGCAGCUAGUAGUUGCCAAAGCUCGGACAAAAUAGAGCCCAUGAAUUUGUUUGAUUUUGAUGACUUUUCUUUAACAUUUAUUAACUGAUAUGUUUAGCUCAUUGUUAUUUAAUUUAGGUCUGUAAUAGAAAAAUUGUCCUUAUUGUAAUGGAUUACUUCUCAUCGAAGCAAAGCCCCCUUUUUCCUGAUUGGGUGGUAGUGUUUGGUUUUUAAUUUUCAGCCAUGUUGUAGUUUUUCUCUGGAAAGUCAGUAGAGUGCCAUCCUCAGGAAGAAUUGACGUACAUUUGGCUUCCUUAGCAUUGUUUUUGUUGAUUAUGGUGACUUAUUUGUUGAAUUUGACAUCAUCAUGGUUAGUGCUGGAUAUCUCAAAUAUUUUCAUUCAACAUUGAAUGUUGAGAAUAUUUUCUUGUAAUAAUAAUAGUGUUAAACUGCUUCAAAUGUGUAUUAACUGUAAUUUCGGUACUCUUAUAUUUGUCAGAAACUGGUGUCAUAUACAUGCCAACAUAGUAAGUGGUGGAAUAAUGGCUGUUGAAGCUUCUUCUAAACCAAGCAGGGUCUACGAUUUUGAUGAUGACGAAGAUGGUCCAGCAGUUUUUAAGCGGAAUACUGCUGCUUCUAGGCAAAACCUAGCAAACCCAGAAGUCAAAAGGCCAUCGUCAUCCACAGCCAAUGGUCAAAACUCUAAUGCCCCAAAGGAUAAGACAACAGUUUCAUCUUCCAAGGUGUUGCCAGUGAAAUCUCCUCCACCAAGCCAGAAAGCGACUACCUCAUCUGCCAAGGCAUCACCGUCGAAGUCACCUAUGAGGUCACCUGUAAAGUCACCUGUGAGGUCACCUGUGAAGUCACCAGUGGCUUUUCAACUCCGGUUAACAUCCAUAAAUAUAGUGUCUGUGUUUGUGUGUACAUUUUCAUUUUUUUUUCCUUUCAUUUAUAAAUAGAAUAAUAUCAACUUCGACAAGGCAUGAACGACAUAUUUUUGUGAAAAUGAAAAAAAAAAAAAAAGAGUGAGAACCCCUUUCUUGAUAUUAAAGCCAGUAUUAGAUUUAAAAGAUGACCACAAGGGACAUCAACGGCGAGAGGAAUAGUCAGCGAUCGAUAUCUGCAAAUCAAAGAAACUGAAGAUUAAUUAGAGAGCAGCAAGGAUGGAUGGUGAAAUCAAAAACUUGAUCAAGGUAUGGAUUGUAGCAAUUUCAUGUUUGAGCUAUUGAUACUUGAUAGCAUCAAAAUUACUGGAAGGACUUGUAGGUCAUGUUCGGUUGCAAGAAAGGAGGAGAGAGGAGAGGAAGGGAAAAGUGAGGAGGAGAAAGAAAAUGAGUAGAAAAUGAUGAAGAGAUUAAUUUCCGUUGUUCAGUUUGGCAUAUAAUUAAUAAAGGAAAGAAUUUAAUAAUUUUUAUUUAGACAAAUAUACUCUUCUAUUAAAUUUUUAAUAGUCAUUAUUAAAUAAACUAAAAAUAUGUUUAACUAUUUAAAAACCAGCCUCAAGAUUAACACUCAUUCUCAAUGUCCUGGCAACAUUUAUAUUGCCUUUAUUAAAAGUAUUUUUACACAUCAUUAUCAAAAGUGUUUUUACUAAUAAUUAUCCAAGUGCUUCUAUACAAACCACUUUUUUUUUCUUUUUCUUUCUUUUUCCAAUAAGAAACAUUAAUAUUAUUUCACAUAGAAAAGUCUAACAAAAACAAAAUAAAAAACUUAGUUAAAUUUCAAGUGUUUAAAUGAGUUAAAUUUCAUAAGUUAGACAUUAAUAAACUUAGCAUGAGUUAAAUUUUACCUCAAAGGAAAAGUCUAACCCCAUGUUUCUUUGUCCUCCUCACAAAGACUAUAAAAACAAAAAUAUAACAAAAAAUUAAAAAAACAUAACAAAAAGCUUAGUCAAAUUUCAAGUGUUCAAAUGAGUUAAAUUUCAUAAGCUGAGAAUAAAUUGGAAAAUAAUCAAGAGAAUCAUAUCAUCAUCUAUCAUAAAUGCAAUCAUGUCUAUUUAGCCUCUUAAUUUUAGGUAUACAAAACUCAAUGCAUAUACAUAGAAACUAAACCAACAUCAGAUAAAAUGAACUCAAAUUAAAUUACAGGUGGUAAAAAAACAAAAUGAGUAUCACAUCCAUUAUCCAGAAAAUGAAGUGAUAAUCCUAGUGUAUUUUAAAGAAUUUUCACAUCAUCUAUCUACUUGUUGUUUAUUACCACUAGAAAAUUAACUAUGAACCUUCUAAUAAGAAAAUGACUUCAAAGAUCAAAACACCAAAUUUUUAUACACAAAAAAAAAAAAAAAAUUAAUCAUGCAUCUAAUAAUACUUAUGGAUGCCACUACUAUAAUAAAUAAUCUAUUAUCUUACUAUUUAAAUAUCAAACAUAUUAGAAAGAGGGGAAAUAAAACAAAACAAACAUAAACAGUUUGCCAAAUACACUGAGCAAGCAGAUAUAUUAUUGUGUUUAUAUUAUUAAUCUUUGGUGAAGUUUGUGAGAUAUUCAAGUAUUCAAUAUGUUCAGAACAUGAUUACAAAACUCAUAAUUCACGAACCUCAUAGUUUACGAAAGCAGAUAAAAUUAACAAAUAAAGCAAAUAAUAAAAUUAGAAGAUCAAUAAGGAAGAAUCAAACUCUUUUUAACUGCACCCGGUUUUUCAUUUCAUCAAACACCUUUAGAAGCUAGUUGGUUCCUUAACCCAAAAACAUAAAUAAAUAAAUAAAUAAACAAGCAGAAAGAAUUAGAAAAGCAUCAUCAAUAGCAAGUAUGUGUGGAGAAGAAAAUUUAUUAGAACAUUAAAUUUAUGUUAUUUUGAAACUUCAAACAAUUUAAUGAAUCUUCUUCAUUAACUUCAGCAUAUACAAAAUUAAAAAACACCCCACAAAAUGUUUAGGUAGCAAUUAAUUAAAUAAAUAACAACAACAACAAAGUAACAGCUCAUACAGCAGGAAAUGUACCUAAUGAAAAUCAAUAUUGACAACUUGGAAAGCUCUAUACGAAGCUUUUUUAACACAAAAUAAAAUAAUUUUGAGCAAAACAGAGGGAAAGAGAAAGUUGACAGUUUUUUUUUUUUUUGUUUUGAUCACGAGGUAUCUUGAAGAGGGCUCCAACUGUGGGAGGCAUCUUUAAGCCCGUACCACAACCCAGACUAGAAGUCCCCGCUCGAACCGAGAGGCACAGGUUCUCCCAACAAAGGCGAUUUCCCUGCGACUCGAACCGGGGAGCAAACUCAAUUAAGUCACUUAAGGGAACUCCAUUGUCAGUAGAGCCAACACUUUGUUAGUAGAGAAAGUUGACAAUUAUCAUGACAUAAACACAUCAUGGAACAAACAUUUUACAGCAGAUCAAUUUCGAAAUCAUCGUAACCCUUACGAAAAAUUAAUUUCAAAGUUAUACAUGCAUGCAUAUGUCUGACUAAUUAAUUUCAAAGUUAUACAUGCAUGCAUGUCUGACUAACAGGACAUGAAUAUUUUUCAACACAUAGCUUGUUUUACCUAACAAGAUUUUCUGACCAUUAAAAAAAUCUAUAACACGGCUCAUGAUUCCAUUAACAAAUGAUUCUAUAGCAGUGAAGACCAUCACACAAAAGCGGAAGCACAAUCGAUUUUACCAAACCAAACCCACAAACAAAAGCAAAAGCAAGAUGAAAUGAACACAUCAUGGAACAAAAAGCCUAUAACACAUUGAUUUCGAAAUCACCGUAACCUUUACAAAAUCAAAUGCUAUUAAUCAUAAUUUCAUAGAUACAAUCGAACCAAAAAAUCAACAUUAAAUGUUAUUUACGCAUGACCUUGAAAAUUGGAUCAUCAAUGAGAGAGCCUAACUUGCAAAUUGAAAGAUAGAUAGAGAGAUUGAAUCUGCGAUUGCUAUUGAAGCUGAAAGUGAAGAUCAAAAGCUGAAACUGAGACUGUAAGCAAGAUGAUGAGAUGCUGCUGAAGCUGUGAAUGGUCUCUAACACUCAAAAGUUGCACAUGCGCUCUUUAUUGCCGGUGAAAGCCAUCGAAAGUUCAGAGAAUCCAUCGAUUUUAAGUGAGAUUUGAUCAACAUUUGAAGAAAGUGAUUAGGGACUUUUUAGGAAUCAUUUUAGAUUUAUUUAGGAAUUAAAUUAGAAAAUCAAAAUUCAAUAAGAGUAAAAGAGGAAAACAAAUCUUUUUAAUGAUGUGGAAUUCGAAUUUCCCUACUCUUCAACAAAGAAAUCGAAUUCCUUAAAUAACAGAAAGUGGGUACAGAAUGAAACUUAAUUCCCUAUUCACUUUUACUAACUAAACAAAGGAAAUUACAGAGGAAAGGGAAAAUCUCUCUUUUCCUCCCUUAAAUUCAUGGAACCGAACAUGCUUUAAGGCUUAUCUCUCUCUUUCAUGUCUUCUGCCUCUUCCUCAUACUACCUUCAAAUCUUUCCUCCAAACAUUUUUGUGGCGUCGCAUCCUUCUUCCUUGUUUGGCCUGCCAACUUCAAGCUUCUGCUUUUCGCUUUUGACCAAUUUGUGAAUAUUUGUAGUGGCAACCGGUUUAUGGUUGUUUUUCACUCAAAUAUGUAUUCAGAAACAAAUGGGAGGAAAAGGCCAUAACCGAGGUCUUCUUUUCAACCAAGUAAUUAUAACGUCACUUGCCACUUCAGUGAC
rnacentral:lncRNA from 1 species